ACACAGAUACAAACACUACCACAUGCAAAUGCACAGGAACACAGAAGCAAACACUGAUACACAUCUAGAUACACAGAGACACACAAUGACACACAUGCAGAUACAAGAAUUGACACAUACAUGCAGAUACACAGAUACACACACUGACACACAUGCAGAUACACAGACACAAAUAUACAAACACUGCUGCAGAUGUACAGAUACAAACACUGCC